UACGUAGGGGGCUAGCGUUGUCCGGAAUCAUUGGGCGUAAAGGGCGCGUAGGCGGCCCUCUUAGUCGCGUGUGAAAGCCCCGGGCUCAACCUGGGAACGGCGCGCGAAACGGGAGGGCUGGAGUUCGGGAGAGGAGAGUGGAAUUCCCAGUGUAGAGGUGAAAUUCGUAGAUAUUGGGAAGAACACCGGUGGCGAAGGCGGCUCUCUGGACCGAGACUGACGCUGAGGCGCGAAAGCGUGGGGAGCAAACAGG
rnacentral:rRNA from 1 species